GAUGAACGCUGGCGGCGUGCCUAAUACAUGCAAGUCGAGCGAACGGACGAGAAGCUUGCUUCUCUGAUGUUAGCGGCGGACGGGAGAGUAACACGUGGAUAACCUACCUAUAAGACUGGGAUAACUUCGGGAAACCGUAGCUAAUACCGGAUAAUAUUUUGAACCGCAUGGUUCAAAAGUGAAAGACGGUCUUGCUGUCACUUAUAGAUGGAUCCGCGCUGCAUUAGCUAGUUGGUAAGGUAACGGCUUACCAAGGCAACGAUGCAUAGCCGACCUGAGAGGGUGAUCGGCCACACUGGAACUGAGACACGGUCCAGACUCCUACGGGAGGCAGCAGUAGGGAAUCUUCCGCAAUGGGCGAAAGCCUGACGGAGCAACGCCGCGUGAGUGAUGAAGGUCCUCGGAUCGUAAAACUCUGUUAUUAGGGAAGAACAUAUGUGUAAGUAACUGUGCACAUCUUGACGGUACCUAAUCAGAAAGCCACGGCUAACUACGUG
rnacentral:rRNA from 1 species